rnacentral:rRNA from 1 species
CUGGUAGUCCACGCCCUAAACGAUGUCUACUAGUUGUCGGGUCUUAAUUGACUUGGUAACGCAGCUAACGCGUGAAGUAGACCGCCUGGGGAGUACGGUCGCAAGAUUAAAACUCAAAGGAAUUGACGGGGACUCGCACAAGCGGUGGAUGAUGUGGAUUAAUUCGAUGCAACGCGAAAAACCUUACCUACCCUUGACAUGGAUGGAAUCCUGAAGAGAUUUGGGAGUGCUCGAAAGAGAACCAUCACACAGGUGCUGCAUGGCUGUCGUCAGCUCGUGUCGUGAGAUGUUGGGUUAAGUCCCGCAACGAGCGCAACCCUUGUCAUUAGUUGCUACGAAAGGGCACUCUAAUGAGACUGCCGGUGACAAACCGGAGGAAGGUGGGGAUGACGUCAAGUCCUCAUGGCCCUUAUGGGUAGGGCUUCACACGUCAUACAAUGGUACAUACAGAGGGCCGCCAACCCGCGAGGGGGAGCUAAUCCCAGAAAGUGUAUCGUAGUCCGGAUUGGAGUCUGCAACUCGACUCCAUGAAGUUGGAAUCGCUAGUAAUCGCGGAUCAGCAUGUCGCGGUGAAUACGUUCCCGGGUCUUGUACACAC